rnacentral:snRNA from 1 species
GAGAUGAGAGAGCAUGGCCCCUGCGCAAGGAUGACAUGCAAAUUCAUGAAGCAUUCCAUAUCUGU